rnacentral:rRNA from 1 species
UACGGGGGGGGCAAGCGUUGUUCGGAAUUACUGGGCGUAAAGGGCUCGUAGGCGGCCAACUAAGUCGGACGUGAAAAUCCCCAGGCUUAACUUGGGAACUGCGUCCGAUACUGGAUGGCUUGAAUCCGGGAGAGGGAUGCGGAAUUCCAGGUGUAGCGGUGAAAUGCGUAGAUAUCUGGAGGAACACCGGUGGCGAAGGCGGCAUCCUGGACCGAGAUUGACGCUGAGGCGCGAAAGCCAGGGGAGCAAACGGGG